GUAAAAAACAACUAUUUUUCAUGUAUACAUUUUUGUAAAAGCUGUUUAUAAAUCUUAUUUUAUAAUAGCUAUAUUUAUCUGUUAUUCAAUGAAAUAACUGACUGAUGCAGUUACAUGAAAAUUAAAAUCUAAUAGAAUAAGAUGCCUAUCAUGCUGAAUUGCUGACGUUCCAAUGAAAAAUGAAACAGAUGCUUUUAAAGAUAACAUAAAAAUUGUUGUAGUUACAGUAAUUCAUGUUACUUAAUGAAAGUUUAUAAACUAAGUAUAUAAUCAUAUUAAUGUAUUAUGUUUAUUUUGAAAUUUCAUUAAAUUAAAUAUUAUAAUAUCAUCACUAAUUAAAACGUUCACUGUAGGGUGUUGCCAUGAGGCGUCAUUUUUACAUUCAUUUUAAACUAUUUUUUUAUUAGGCCAGUGUUGCAUUUUAAUCUUUUUUUAUUCGUCAACAUUGUUCAAUGUAUAUUACUGUAUAUUUGUGUGCAAUCCGUACCUCAAAUUUUUUAUUUUCCUAAUGGGCAUCAUAAAAGAAAAUCUGUAAAUCUGACCAGCAUUGGGGUAUGUGUAUACAAAAUUGAGCUGUAGAAAAUAUGUUAAAAAUAAAUGUAUUGUUAUUAUA